rnacentral:lncRNA from 1 species
CUUUAUUUCUUCUGUUAAUGCAGGUCGAAGGUGAAAUAGAUAAGCUCUCUAUGGAGGAGGCUGGUUUCCCCAAUUGUAUUAGCGUACCUUAUGGACUACCUGCACAAUCCUCCAAAGAUCUACCUGCUGAGGAUGAGGUCUUAACCAGACUUGAAACUAAAAGUGAUCUUUCUUAGGUUUUUGAAUUCUCUGAUACUUAUACAAGACUAGAAAUGUUUUUGCCUUCUUAAAUUUUUGUAUUGUAGCUUGUUUAAUUGUUUUACCUUUAUGAGCAAACGUCAUUCGUUAAGGCUUUGGCAACAUUUACAAAUCCUAAGCUUGCAACCUUUGGUGUUUUCUUUUUUGGGAGGAUGGUGUCAAAGCAAACAGGCAACACUUGAUAUGUUACUUUUUAUCUUUUGUUGUUACAUUAUUGAAGUUGUUUUCUCCAAGUUAUUAAUCCUUCCUGACUUUUCAUCUCUUAGUGUGCAAAAGUAAGCUCACAUCAAAUCUCUUGUGCUUCACAUAUAGGUAGUAUCUUUCAUUGAAAAUGACUCUGCACACUCCUUGACUCAAACUCUACUUGCAUGUGUUGGUGCCUUAUAUCUAAUGGUUUAGCAUGUCUGAAUUCUUUCCUGAUUGCAUAACAUGCGGAACGAUGCCCAUGUUUAUGUUACUUAAAAGAUUUAUGGCAAUGUACUGUCCCUGCCAAGGAUGGGAAAGGCAAAAGAAAAAUGAAAACAAAAAGGUUCAAGCACUAGAAACAUCGGAAAAGAAUCUUGUUUAAUUUUGUGUAAUUCUUUAGAUUCUGAUUUUUGUAUGUUGGUUAUUUGCUGCUUUAAGCUUGUCUUCCAACGGUACACACAUGCUCAUGGGAUUAAACGUAUUCUGCCCUUAUUAGUUGUUACAAACACAUGACGACCACCAUAAAUGGAAGUACUGUUGACAAACAGGUAAAGUUAGAAAAGGUCUUGGUUUUUCCAAGAUUGAGGAGAGGCUGAAUAUGGGAUGAGGUAAAAUAACAUGAGAUAUUACUGUUUUGUGCACAUAGGUGUUUUAUGAUGUGGAUCUAGGUGGUCAGUUCGUAUUUUCCUUGUACUUUCAUUCUUGGGAAUGGUAAUCUUGCUCAGAUACCAUGCUAUAUCUUAUAAGGAGGCAGGGAACUUGUUUCACUUUGUAAAUGUUUUUUACAUUAUCGUGGAUGUUUCUCGUUGGAUCAAACCUUUUCCUCCAUAUGAGGGCCUUUUAUGAGCGUCAUCCAUGCCAGAAUUAUAUUGUAGUAUGAGGUAUGUGUGUGUGUGUGUCCACCAUUCCCUUUUUUCUGAGAUGUUAAUGAUUAAAAGUGAGCAGGGUUUGAGCUGAACUGAUCAAGAGUUUUCAAACCUGCUAAAAUUAGCAGGUAUUGAAGAGACACUGUAAAUGAGUUGGGUUUAGGUCCAUUAUACUAACUUAGCUAAUAGGCAAUAUGGUGUGGUUUAUACCAUAAAAGCAAGCCAUAAUGUCCAGAUGAAUUUAUACCAAGUAUGGAUAUGGAGUUGAAGUUCAGCCAAUUCAAGCUGUUAAUUCAAGUAAAACGUGGUGGAACUAUAGUUAAACUUUAAAGUGGUUCACAUUUUUGUGAUUGGUCAUGUGAUGGCUGGUGGACUUGCAGUUAUCAUAUAUCCUUGCAUGUGCUUGGUUUGGAUGUGGGCAUGGCAUAAUGUACACUUGUGCUGGUGUUGUUUUGGAGCUGGAGCUCUAUGCAUCCUAGUAUUAUUGCAUCUUGAUCCAUGCUUAUCUCAAAUACCCACUUAUUCUGACCAUUGGUGACUCUUAGUGCCGAUUUAGUUGUUUAGAUACAUACUUUUCUUUUCAGGACUUAAACAGCCUCUAAGAUAGCCAUCGUAUAUCAUCGAGCUUUCGAUCAUCUAGUUGCUUUAGGGUCCUCUUUCGACUGUUAUUUGAUCAUUAGAUACAGCUAAGACAGAUGGCUUGAGAGCGAGCCUUGGUAGCAUUAGGUUAAGUUGCCCUUUUUGUGAUCUGGUCGACCAAAGUUCUCGUAACGGAAACAUCUUUGUUUACAUGGGUCAGUCUGUGUAUAUGGACCCUCAUACACCCAAUUAGGGGAGGCCUUGUACAUUGGGCCCAUGUCUAAUAUUUUUGAGAAGGCUUGCAAUGUCUUAAUGUUCUGUAGAACUAAUCAAGUUAAACAUCAAUGUUGAGGUUUCGCUGACUUGCAUAUACAAUGGGAAUUUAGGUUUGUCUCACAAUUUUCAGGACAUCAAAAAUUUUAUUUAUAUUAUCACAUUAUUUUGAAAAUUAAUUAUUUUCCUUUCUUAUCAGAGUGCUUUUCAUCUGUUUGAAUUUUUGGGUGUUUUAAGCUCUUUUGUAUUAUGGUUUCAUUGGAUUUUUAUUUCUGAUAAUAUGUCAGAUCUAACAUAUUUUGCAAUGUUCUUCACAAAGCUAGGACACCAAGUUCCAGUACUUGUGGAACUGCAUAGAGUACCUAGAAAAGGUAGGUAUCUUAGUGUUUAAAACAUGUUAGCUUUGCUCUUGUCCUCAAUAGGAUACUUGUAAAUUGCUUAGCUGAUUUGAAUUGAAAUGUCAUGGAUAAAUCUCUCAGGCAUCUCGGAUAAUAUUAGCAACAGAUGCAGAUGGCGAUGGUCAAGCUUUAGCAGAUGAAUUAGCACGUCGCCUUGGUAAAGAAAGGUUUGGUCUCUCACCAUCAUCAUUUAGGCAUGCAUGUCAAUCUGUAUUCUCAUGUUUGUCUGUCAGGAUUGAUGAUUCUUUAUUUGUGUCUAUAUGUGUUUUGAUUUAGCUUAUAAACAUAAGAAUUACUUAAUACCUUUUCAUCAUUUGGAUAAAAACUAGGUGCUGGAGGGUGAAGUGGCCGAAGAAAAAUGCUACUGAACUUUGCAAAGAUGCUAAUGAGGUUUGUUAUGACUGUUUGAACUGUUGCCUCUGUUAUGUUGGCUUCUUUGUUCUAAAGGUCGCAGAUCAGGAUCGGCAUCAGUAUUGAUUAUUGGCAUAAACUCAAUUUCCUUCUAGAUUGGAAUUUACUGAAAAAAAAUCUAAAAUUCGAAGCUGCUCAAACCAUGAGACCUGGUUUGGGUGGUGCAUGCUUACCAAAUAAUUUGCACGAUCCAUUUUUUUACGAAAAUCAUUACAAGUGUAAUUUUUUUGGGGCACUCCUGGCAUUCUAUAUCAUAUUUUAUGGUGUUGAUCUAUCCAUGUGUGCUUUGUCAUUUAUUUUAAAUUCGUGGGACUAAGGAACUUUGUCUGUGCAUGUGAAUGCAUUGUGCAUUCAUGCAUGUCCAUAUGUUUGGCCAAACAUUAUACCUUCGAUCCAAGGUGUCCACUGUAGGUAAUGCCCUCUUUUAUGGAGUAUGUACGCCAAGUAAAAGGUGCCAACGAGUAGUAUCAGAUUGUUCCUACAAGCAAAUGGAAACUUGACUGUGGCUUUUCUAUCUUGUUGUCUAAACUUAUGUUGUAUCCUUUUCUUCAGGUUUUGAUGUAUAUUGGACCAGAUGAACUGAGGGAUGUUAUUGAGAAUGCUGAAUUGUGUCCUAUAAUGGGCCUAUCUCACUUCAGUAAUUUCUUCAAUGAAGUUGAUGAAUAUUAUCACCGGAGUCUUGGAUUUGAGCUUGUUUCGACUGGUUGGAGAGCUUUAGAUGAAUUAUACAAUGUAAGAAUUUAACCUACAUAACUUUUUCAUGUUUUCUUAUUUGAGAUUAUGCAGUUAAUAUCGUUUUCUUAAAUGAGAUGGUUUCCUUUGCCCUUUUGAAAGUACAUUUAAGAUUGGUAUAUUCUGUGCUACACAUGUCAGUGAUGUAUAGCCAAUAAUCACUUUGUAGUUUGUUUCUAGGUGGCUGCUAAUUGCAUUGUAUCCAAUUAUAUGGUGUAUUUUACUAAUAGUGGAUUCCAAAACUUAUCAUCUUGAAGGAUCAUACUGAGUGCAUAAUAUUCUAGUUUAAGUGAACUGUAUUUUGCAAAUAAACUUUGUUUCUUUAUAAUUAUCUAGAAACAUUGACCCAUCCAACUAUUUCCUUUAAUUUACCACCAUAUAUAUGUAAAUUAUAUAUAUAAACUUUCAUUGAACAUUUGGGUGAAAAGCAUGACCGCACUGGUCAAAAUAAUGGUAUGAUUUGAUUGCUACACCUUGUGCCAACUGCCAAGCAUGUGCAAGUACGUUUCUAUGAUGGUGACAAGACCAAUGUUUAAUAUCAUGAGUAGCAGGUUUAUGGUGAUAGCAUAAAAUGGUACAAAUUGACCAAAUGCGAUGCUUGCUACUGGAUUUAUUGUUGUGUUAUAGAGUAAAUCCAGGAAAUUAUGUGCUGGCUGGCUAGCCAUGAUCAUCAUGAGGGUUCAUACUAAUUUGUGCUUUCUUCUUGCAAUAACUUUACCUUGGUAUGAUUUUAUGAUCUCCAUAUUAUUUAAAUGUGUGUAACUACACUGGAUUAGUAUUUUAGACACUACAAUUUAGUUGAUAACUACCUUGAAAGUUUGACAAGAUUUCCAUGCUUUAUUUUGUGGCUGGAUAUCGAUCAAGCAAAACAAGAGCAACCUUACGCAAGUGUUUGAGGUUCAUGAGAAUGUAGUGAAAAUCUCUUGUGAAUCACAUAUCUUGUUCUUUAUUUUCCCUCUUUUCUUCGUUAUCACUGCUACAGAGAUGACCUAGCAUCUGAAAAUGAGAUCAGCUGUUGCAUGGUAUCUUGAUUUGCAUGGCACCUGUUAUGACUCAUGAGGGUUAAAUGUGGAAGCCAACAUUUGUAAAAUGAUAUUGCUUAACCAGAAAAAAAGGUCCUUAUCAUGGUGCUAAGGCAGACAUGGCCAAACUCUGGGUCAAAUGUAAAAUGCAAUUCAUGUUGAGGUUAGAGUACAACCAUUUAACGAAAUAAGAAUAAAUAUAAAGAAGUUUGUGUUAAUUUUUUGUUAACAAGCAAGUAAGCAAUUAGUAAAAAGAUAUAAAUUUUGUCGAUACUGUCACUAUGACUUACUACUGGAUUUAUUGUUGUGUUAUAGAUUAAAUCCAUCCAUAUUGAAUCCAAUUUAUGAUAAAAAUGUUUGACUUUAGAUAUAAUCUGACUUUCAUCCUAGCUUACCAAAAUCGUCAGCUAAAUUCUAAAGUCUGUCUAAUCUUGACUUUUUCAUAUAUUUAGGAUUGUUAUAGUCAUUAUUUUUUAAUUAGUCUGUCCAUUCUAGGAGACGUACUUUUAGAUGCUGAAGAAAUCUAAUCGAGAAUGUCUGUUUACAAAAUUUUUAAUGCUUCUGGAAGGAUUUUGUCAAACCUGAUAUUUUAGAUGGGAGUUUUUGUUUUAUUUGUCUCUUUUCAGCCUACUCAAUCCUGAAAUAGAUUUUUUAUACAACAACAACAGCCAUAUUUUUUAUAUAUUUAUAAAAUCUUUUUUAUCUGUAUGGAUUUUUAGAUUGCUGGCUCUCUAAUUCUAGGAUGUGAUAUUUCUAAUCUCAUCAUUGAUUUCUAUCUGGCAGGAUUAUGUUUAUUUCACUUUUUUUAUUUUUUUCCUACUGAAUUCCGAUCUAUAAAGCUAUUUGAAAGGCAACUAAAUUUGAUCUGGCAGUCUGGUGUUUGCUUUUUUCUUUUAUUUUCUGGGCUUUCUUGUAAUUAAAGAGGUAUUUGAUAUAUCCAAGUUGUUAAUUACUUUGAAAUCUGUAAAGAAAUGUUAGAAUAUGAUUAUUUACAAGUCUGAAAUUUGUUUAUAUUCUUUUUGCAAGACUUGUGUGCAGUUUUAUAUCUUUGCAUGCUAUUAUUUUUUCCUUGAGCAGGUAGUGCCUGGAGAGUUGACUGUGAUAACAGGUGUUCCUAAUUCAGGCAAAAGCGAGUGGAUUGAUGCCCUGUUAUGUAAUAUCAAUGAAGCCCGUAAAUGGAAAUUUUUACUCUGCUCUAUGGAAAACAAGGUCUGAUUUGUAAAUCUUCUAGUUUGACCUUGUGAUUAUACCAAGAUUGUUGAAGAUAUUGGUCUUUAGGUUCGGGAUCAUGCAAGGAAGCUUUUGGAGAAGUACAUAAAUAAACCAUUCAUUAAUUCAAGGUAUAAAACCUUUCAUAUCAUAUGUGUCUGUCCACUGGUUACUUUGGUUCAUUAUAUUGAAUUAUGAAUGAAAGUUUUGUUGAAAUUAUUGGCAACAAAAAAGAAAAAUAUGAAAAAUUUUGUCUUGUUGCUCCUGCAGUUAACGGAAAUAGUCAAGUUCUUGUUGUUUCUUAUUGCUCUCUGAACUAUGAACCGGAUCAUAAUUGUUGCUCGGAGAAGUACUCAUCUUUAUUUGGCAUUUGGUCAGUGAUUUAAAAAGCGCUAUGCGCCAAAAUGCGCUAAGGUCCAAAAACGCUCGAGGCGUUAGGCCCUCGUCCGAGCUAAGCGAGGUGCUAAAAUAUAAAAACAUAUAAUAUAAUUAAUAAAUAUAAUUAUUUAAAAUUUUAAAUAAAAAUAUGCUAUUAAAAGUAUUGAAAAUUAAUAGUAUUGAAAAUUAAUCUAUUAUUAAUCUAUUAACAGUAUUAAAAAUUAAUAAUUUUAAAUAAACCUAACAAUAUUAAUAGUAUACUGUUAACAGAAGGAGAAGAAGGAAGUGUAAGGGGGUGUUGACUGAGAAAAGAGGAAGCGACAGCGGGAGUGUAAGGAGGCAGAGGCAGCGGGAGCAAGAGUGUAAGGAGGCAACGAUAGCGGGAGUGUAAGGAGGCGGUGGCAGCGGGAGUGUAAGGAGGCAGCGGGAGCGGGAAUGUAAUGAGGCAGCGAUAGCGGGAGUGUAAGGAGGCAGCGGGAGCGGCGACAGCGGCGAGCGGUGACAGCGGCAACGGCGAGCAGCGGGAGGCGACAGCGGUGAGCAGCGGGAUCGGGAUCGGGAGCGGCAACGACAACGAGGGUUAGGGUUGGGUUGUCGCUGAUAUCGGUUUUAGUUGGUUCGAUUGAACCAACUAACCACCGAAGACCGAACCAGACCUAAAAUCCUGGUUCGGUCGCCUGGUUUAACCCAGGCGCUCGCCCGAAUCACCUAGCGCCUGGGCUCGGGCGAGCGCCCAGACUGCGCCGCUUUGAAGCGUGUCGCCUGGAAGUUUAGCGAGGCUUUCGGGCCUUGCCUCGCCCGAGCGCCUAGGCGAGCGCCCGAGCGUCUUUGUAAAUCGCUGCAUUUGGUUAACCUAAUACAUCGCUGGAAUUGCAGUGGAACUUAAGAGUAAAGAUCGUUUUGGGUUGAAAACUCAAGUUCUAUAAAUUCAUGUGGGCACUGAGGUUACAAGUUUGUAGGCUUUGAAGGAAAAUGAUGUAUAUAGGCCUGAUGUUAUUUCUAGUAGUCUAGUCAACUUAUAUGAUCUCAUAUGCAUGUCCGAGGGUGGGAGUAUCCACAGGGAUUGCAUGAUGAAUCCAAGCUUAUUGAUUCACAGAAUAAAGAUCUGAUUGACUCAAAAUUGAUUGACACUUUGUUUCUACUUGCAUAAUGAUGAAAGUAUAUGCAUGGAGAUAUUAUCGUUUUGUCAUCUUUAUUCAGACCUUUUCUUGGAAUUUUGGCUGUCUUUGGAUUGUAGCUAAAUAUCUUAAAGUUCUGCAUAUCUUUAAGACCUUUUCUUAGAGUACUUGUGAUGGGCAGCAAUUCUUAUUGGUACCAUUUUAAGAAGAAAAAAAAUACAGUUUGGCUGUCCUGGCUGCAAUGGAAAUUUAACAUGACACCAAAUUGUGAAAUAGUUGUAAGGAUGCAGUGGAUUAUUGAGAGUCGGGCCGAAAUUAAAUUGACUUUUUUAUUGUCUAAGAUUUUGUUUUUUAAAUAAUAAUCAAGUUAGUAUUGAGUUAAUUUACUCAAAGCAUACACCUGCUUAGUGAUGGUGGGCUUUUGUUUUUUUAGUUGUCAAACUGUGCUUGCAUUUUGUCUGUUUUAAACUUUAGCUGGUUUGAUAACUGUCUUUUGUACCAACUUUUCUCUGUCGGAUAUCUAGAUUCCUAAUAAUUAUCUUCUUUUCUAAUUUAGUUGCUUGUUAGUUCAUAAGGUUCUGUAUUAUAUUUUUCGUAAAGUAAAUUAUUAUGUUUAUGGCUGUGACAAGAUAUGGUGAAUCUACUGAGCGAAUGAGCGUGCAGGAAUUAGAACAAGGAAAGAAAUGGCUUAAUGAUACAUUUUAUCUAAUUCGGUGAGUUAUUACAUGUAACCAUGUUUGGUUUAUCAGACAAGUUUUGUUAAUCUUAUUUUUUAAAUACAUAACGCUUUAUAUUCUCAUAUAACUGGUCCAGAUUAAAUAGGUGUUCUAGAUAUGUCUGAGUAUGCAUAAACCUCAUUGGUGUAUCGUUUCUUGAUUGAUUGGUAAUUUGGAUCAUGGCUAGGUGUGAGGAUGACUCCCUUCCAUCUAUCGAUUGGGUACUUGAACUUGCCAAGUCUGCAGUUGUUCGAUAUGGCAUCCGUGGACUUGUUAUUGAUCCAUACAACGAACUUGAUCACCAACGUUCUUCAAAACUGUGAGUGAUUCUUCAACUAUAUUUUUGUUCACAUUAACUGUUUCCUGCCAUGUAAAUCUACUCUAUUUGGUUUAACAUUUCUGGUAACAGAACAGAAACGCAGUAUGUGAGCCAUAUGCUUACUAAGAUCAAGCGCUUUGCUCAGCACCACGCUUGUCAUGUAUGGUUUGUGGCACAUCCAAGACAGGUAUACCUUCUAAUGUAUCCUAUAAUCUAUUAAUGUUCUGCUUCUAUCAUCUUCUUAAUGUAAACAUGUCUUCAGCUACAAAACUGGAGGGGUUAUCCCCCUAAUCUGUACGAUAUUAGUGGAAGUGCACAUUUUAUAAAUAAAUGUGACAAUGGAAUUGUCAUUCAUCGAAAUCGGAAUGCAAAUGCUGGCCCCCUUGAUCGUGUUCAGGUUAACUUGUCUUCCUUUGCAAUCCAUUAGUUUCUAUUUUCCAUUUUUUAAUUUAUUUGUGCAUAUUGUGUAGGUUUGUGUGCGGAAGGUGCGAAACAAGGUCGCUGGGAGAAUCGGAGAUGCUUUCCUCUCUUAUAAUAAGUAUAUUUCUAUUAUGAUUAUGAAUUAUAUAUUGCCCACUAUGUUCUGUCAAAACCCUGUUACCUUGAAGUUCUUAAAAUUCCUACUAUUCUUUUUUAGAUAUUUUAACUUGGUUACACUAAAAUGGUCGCUUGCAGCCCACGAAGGUCCAUUAUUGUUUCAGUCCACAUCAUAUUCUUUUACUUUAGUAUGGGUCUUUGUCAUCUACAAUUUGCCUUGUAUUAAUAUGUUAAAAACUCAUGUUAAAGUGAUGUUAACAACGAAGUGAAGAGUGGUAGAUGAUGAAGCUUUCUUGUGCGACCUACUAUUAUAUGUUUCUGGCCGAUCAUUGUGUGUACAUGUAGAAUGGAAUCUUGCAAUGCUUCUCCUUGCAUUACGGUAGCAAGUCGAAGCAUGAGCGACUCUGACCAUGAUACAUCUUUGUGUGUUUUCACUAUCCAAAAACCUCAAUUGGGAAUUUUAAUCGACUGCCGUUGCUAACUGCAGUCUUUUUUUUUUUGGCAGAACCACAGGAAAAUUCGAGGAUUGGCAUGAUGGGGCUAGAACAUUUAGGAAGCAACGAAGAUGAGUUUUCUCUGUGAUACUGCAUUCAUACACAGAAUUCAGAUGUUCUAGUUUUGAGGUCCAUGCUGUAGCUAGAGCGCUAGAACGGAGAACAGUUUCGGAGCCCCAGUCAACCGUUGUGGGCUGUUCACUGUUUUUGGACGGGCAGUCGAGGCGUGGUCUACUUGUUCAGCCGUAAAAUAUUUUGUGGCUGUCCUCCGUUUGGAAGAUGAAACCCUGUUGUUUGGCGCAUUAAAUUACAUGUGUUCUCAUAGGUAGGUGAAACGUUUGCUGAUAUAGAGAGUUCAAUGUUACAUGACAGCUUCCGAGUCUUAUGAAAUGUACAGGUGAAACUGAGAGAUAUCCACAUAUUAGGUUAUGAAGAAAGCCUACAUGCAAGGUAUUAUUGUAUUUGAUGAACGCUUAAUGUGAUUGCCUCGUGUCGUGGUCCUUCGACAUCUCAGUCUCCAUUAUCCAUACUGGUAAUACUGGUAAUGCAUGUUUAUGAUCUUACUCCCCCAACGAUGUGAAGAAGAAUCUAUGGCUCAUCGAGAGACGGUGGUAGAUCCCAAUCUUGUGACAUAUACGAGUCGAUAGAGACGUCCUUUUCUUUUGCUUUUACACCUCUUUGAUGCUAUCAAUUCUCUGUGUAUAAUCUAUGGUAGAAAGGUCAACCUCCCAAAACUAUUUGCCCGGAGAGGGUCAACCGUCCGUCGCACGCCGACUGUGGGGUCCACGGAUCUUUCGAAAACGCGAUUCUCUGAUAAUUAGCCAAUCCCCACCGCCAUAAAAAGAUAAGCAAUCUGAGCUCAAGUAUCCUUCCGACCUACCCGAUCGCAUCGUCUCACAAACGACUCCGGGCCCCACAUAGCCGGACGCUAGUCUUACAAUCGACACACGGGGUUGGCCAGCAGCGGGUACCGAAGAAUAAUAACAUCCGGGAAUCGAGGACAACGGCUAUCAGAGGUGGCGUCAUUUCAUUGGCUUUUCCACCCUUUCCGUUCGGGUCCCCCGAAGGAAACAAAAUAACAAACCAUCCUUCUCUCCCUGUCGUUGUGGUGGCUUUUAUCGGCUGCUCUCUCCCUCAUAUCCCCCCUUGCGAUCGUGAAGCUGCCGUCCCAUCCGCCGUCCACCAUGACUUCCGAAGCCGGAGCCCCGACGGCAGCGGAUCCCAUCCAAGAGAAAGUUGCGGCCACGGCCGAGGGCGACGAGAGGCAAACAGAAGUGGUUACCUAGGUUGUCGCCGACGUGGAGGAGGAGAAGAAAAUGCCGGAACCUCCGUCCUCGGACCCUCCUUCCGUCGAGAAGUGCUCCUCCUUCAGGGAGGAGAACAACUUCUUGUCGGACCUGAAGGAGGCCGAGAAGAAGGCGCUCAUCCGCAGGGUUUGGCAUUUCAGUCAUAACAAUUCCAUGCAAAAAAACACAAAAAAAAAAAAGACCUCCCCUUCUAUUGAUUGUAGAGGAAUUAUAAUAACAUAUUCUUAUUCAUGUAAGGCAUAAGAUCGAGUACCAAGUGUAAAGGUCACAUCCAAUCUAACCAUCAAGCAGAUAUGCCCUCAACAAAUAUGGAAUACUCAUGAACCACACAAUACAUGUUGAGGAAAUUAAAACUUUCAGGUGAAGCAAUUUCUAAGAAGCCAAUAGUUGGAAUUAUUGAUUCUAAAGCCUUGAUUAAACUAUGUUCAUUUGGCAAGACUUAAAACAAUAUAUUAAGGCAAGUUAAAAGCAUCAGACUAUGCCCAAUAAUAUAUAUACAAUUGGGCAUAGUCCAAUAAUAUCCCUUUCAUUCGAAUCAGAUAUUGAUGCAUACCCAAGCAUUUAACAGCACAGAGAAAAAGUAACAUGAUUAACAUGAUGCAUAGGUCUUGUGGUCACUCCACAGUUUCAGGGAUUCAUGUAAUUUUCCGAUCAUUAAAAAACCCAAUAGUUCACCGGCCUGCAGGGCUUUACUAUAACAAACAAUUCUGUAGAGACUAAAGAGCCCGAUGGAUGAUUCAAAACAUCUUCCUGGAAAAGCAUCUAUUCACAUAAGACAUAAAAUAUGUAAAAGAAAGAAAGAACUAACCUUGGAAAAGGUACUGGCAAGCUCAUAAAUAUCAGAUGUGGCACUCAGAUCUUCCUCCUGCAAAUCGAUAAGAUUUUCAUUAAAAUUAUGGCCUCAAUAAAUCACUUCUAUUCUAAUUGCCAUUUGCCAGAGCAAAAACUGUCCUCAAAUGAACCAACACUAUAGGUGACACACUCAUGAACAAUAUCAGUGUCAUCUGUACCAGUGAUAUAUGGUAACAAGCAUAUUUGUGCAUAUCCCAAGGCAAGAACAUUAACCACAGAUAACUAGAUUGGAAAGAUGGAAAGUUGCUUCACAGAUAGAUAUUAAAGGUCAAGAGGGAACAGUACUAGAAACAAGAAAGUGAUGCUAAUUGUGAUGGUACUAAUUGACAUAUAUAAUAAAUCUUAGUCGACAUUGGUCAAGCUGUAUCCAAUCUUCACAUGAUAGAGAUAUGCUAUUAUGGUAUUAUUGAGCUGCAUACUGUUGAAAGAGCAGUAGGCUUGAAAGAAUAAACAUCAGAAACAUCAAUCUCAAAACAUCAUCAUUAACAGAGGAACUAAGGUUGGUGUCAAAUGAGUCAAAUAAGAUGGUGUAAAUAGAAGGGAAAGCUACUAGACACAAUAGAACAGACAUUGUAUCUGUAAAAUAGUAAAGAUGAUGCCGAAAAAUUUGUUCUAAACCCCCUAACUCAACUUCCUCCAUGAUACUUAAUAAGGGACCAUUUGGUCGGUCGGCCAUUGGUGCGGCCCGUAGACUCACGAAGAAUUGUCCGUUUUGGGCGAUGGGCGUACCCACACGGUUUUGUCCUUUCGGAGCAUGCAAGCUCUAAAAGGCACCUCUAUAGGUAAGAAAGACCUGACGGACUUAUGAGCCAUUUGUUCCCAUACUCCUCAACCAAUGUGGGACUAAAUGGCCUUAUCAGUGCUUCCUCCUGUAGGGGAGCCAAUGACUCUUAACCAAGAUGCACGGUUCCGGAGCAAGUUUACUCGACCGAGGUGCAAGCCUCGGGCCCUUAUUCUAGCACCAAUCUGAUAAGGGAUCAUUUGGUUGACUUGCCAUUAGUGCGGCCCAUGGGCUCGCGAGGAAUUGUCUGCUUUGGACGAUGGGCAUACUCAUAUAAUUUUGUCAUUUCGGAGCAUGUGAGCUCCAAAAGGCGUCUCUGAAGAUAGGGGAGACUUGGCGGACUUAUAAACCUUUGGUUCUCAUACUCCUCAACCAAUGUGGGACUAAAUGACCUUAUCAGUGCUCCCUCCCGUAGGGGAGCCAAUGGCUCAUAACCAAGGUGCACGGCUUGGGAGUGAGUUUGCUCGGUCGAGAUGCAGGUCUCGGGCUCUCCUUCUAGCGCUAAUAUGAUAAAAGACCAUUUCUCGAUUUGUGCGUGUCAUCCUUGCGCAAGGGGCAUGCUAAUUUUCUCUGUAUUGUCCCAAAUUUAUUGGAUGUCUCCGAAGAGACCAUUUCUUCAAGUUUGGGAGCUCACAUGCUUCGAAAGGACAAAACCAUACGGGUACGCCCAUCGUCCAAAGCGGACAAUUCCUCGCGAGCCUACGAGCUGCACCAAUGGUAGGCCGACCAAAUGUUCCCUCAUCAGAUUGGUGCUAGAAGGAAGGCCCGAGGCUUGCACCUCGGCUGAGCAAACUCGCUUCUGAGCUGUACACCUUGGUUAUGAGCCCUUGGCACCCCCCUAUGGGCGGGAGCACUAAUAAGGUUAUUUAGUCCUACAUUGGUUGAGGAGUAUGAGAACCAAGGGCUCAUAAGUUUACCAGGUUUUUCUUAGCCUCAGAGACGCAUUUUGAAGCUCACAUUAUCCGAAAGGAUAAAAUCGUGCGAGUACAUCUAUCGCCCAAAGCAGAUAAUCCCUCGCGAGCCUACGGGCCGCACCAACGACCGACCAAAUGAUCCCUUAUCAAUUGCUAAGAUUAGCAUCAUAUUCAACUCUACGAGUCAGGAAUAAAGUAUAUAGAUGCAUUGGCUACGGCGAAAUAGAAAGCCAAUCAGAUCCUUAAAAGUACAGGAUAACUGCUUCACGUAUAGCUUGCUUAACACACCGAGCCUACUCAUAAACAAAUAUUCUAAAUUUAGACAAUUGGCCUACUUUAUUUACUAUAUACAAAAAGUCAGGUUUUCAUGACGCGGUGUCCAGUAUUUCGAUAGCUGCUCAAUUCUAAAUUCGAGACCGUGCAAACCACGAAAAAUCACACCAACAAGAUCAGAAAGCAAAUACCAUAAAAACAAAAAGAAACAGGAAUCAGCAUUCGGAGAGAAAAAAGAUCAUUUAUGCAUCUCUUUUUGAUAAGAAUAAGAGAAGAAGUUCGUGAUUUUGACAUUAAAAUAAAAGAUGGAUCCGCCACUCCGAAGCCGGUCACCUGAGGCAAAAGAUCCAGCACAAAACUCAACGAAGAAGCGGCCUCGCACAUCCCUUUUAACCCAGUCCUACCGAACGACUCCGUCCUCAAGAUCCAAUCCUUCCACCAAAUCAACCCACAAAACCAAAUCCGAAGCACCAGAAAAAGACCUAAAUUCGAAGGCAGAAGAAAAAGAAGAGAAAGAUCUCACCUGCAGCGCCGUCAUCCUGUCCUCCGAACCCAUCACCGACGCCCGGGUCCUGCAAGUCGCCACCCUCCCCAUCCAUCGCCGCCGCCAUAGAUAAAAACCCUAGUAUCUGAAAUCGCAACAACAAAGACAAGGAAAAGGGAGCAAGAACCCUAAAUUCGAAUCCGCCCUAGGGUUUUCUGGCCAGAGCUGAGAUCUGCUAGCAAGAAGGAUCCAAAUUUCGAUGCCCCUCCGCUAGUAGUAUCCAAGAUUCGGUAGAACUCCAACGGAAGGAAGAACAAAAAUCCAAUGGCAAUGUGAUCUACUAUCAGAAUCGGCAAAUGAUCGAAUCCAAUAGGUGAAGCCGACUGCGUGCAGGGUAUCGAGCUGUGCCAUAUUUUAGGAGCCUAUCGAUUGAUUAGGAGGAGGAACUCUAUCUAAACCAAAGCGCUUUGUCUUGCGAGCAUAGGUUGGUGUUCUGUUGGCACCGCACUGCACUGGCUAUGAGAUCAUAUGGGAGUUGAUAGAAGCUCAAAACCCUAAUCUCAAUGUUGGAUAAUGCACAUCCAUUGGUCGGAAGCAAAUGCAGUCAACUCUUUUAUACCUUUUCCUUUUUGUCGUCUCAUGCAGUCAACUCUUUUAUCACAUUCAUUGUGCUGUUGGCUUUCAUGAGGAUUCGAGUCGCAGACAAACCGCUUGUAAGCACGCAUAACUUAUAUUUACAUUUAUGGGACCGGAUUGAUAUCCUGUUGGAUUCGGAUUCGAUCCGACCCGCUAACAUGCCCACGGACCCACGAGAGAAAACCCUAAUGAAACCCGGCCCCACUAGCAUCUCCCAAAUCCUUCUUCGCCCUUUGUCUAGCCGACGAGAGCCGAGGGCUGGUCGUUGACGUAAUGACCCCCUCAGUCGCCUGCCGCUCUCUACGAACCCUCCUCAUGGACGGGUUCGAGUGCCUCCCCGUGCGAUGCUCCGCCUCGGCACCCGCACCUGCACCUUUCCUCCCUCAUCGCCUUCUCCGUCUCCUCGUCCACCUCUGCUCUGCAAACCCACGGCGUCCCGUCUCCAAGAAUCUCCCUUUUUGUCAGAAAUCCUCUGGUUUUUGUUCUUAUUCCUACCGUCCACUCGUGCCUCGGAAAGCUGGUAUGAAUCUCUAUGGUCGAAUCUUUUUUUCGUUCUGGAGUGUGGCUUUUCUCGGUUCUUUUUUCUCUGGCUUUGUAAGAUGAUUCUAUUGCUUUCUAAUGGUUCGGUUGAAGGUGCACUGCCAGCAGUCCACCCUACGGUCCACAAGCGGAUCGACUAUUUGAAAUCAAAGUUGGAGGAACAAGGAAUUCGGUGUGGUAGUGUCAAGCCCGGGAAGUAUUGUCGAAAUUUAUGCCCAAAGGUGCCUCUUUUACCCCUUUCAUCCAACAUUCAUUCGUCCAUCCUAUUCUUGGUAUUAACUUCCCCUUAGUAUUCUUGACAAUCAUAGGAUUCCCUCGUUUCUGUGUUAAUGUUUACAACAAUUGCCUUUUCUGGCUCAAAAAAUUAGAAUUGGUAUCAACGAUGGCAUUUGUGAUAAGUAGAAACUAGUUUCUUGACGAAAGAAAAUUCAUCAGACAUAUCAUGUCAUGAAAUGUGUAGGAAAUCUAUAUUUUGUUUGCUACACUGCAACGCUGACUCAAACCACCCUUAUUGCGGUUCAACUUCUGGGGUACAUGAAAUUAAUAAGUUUCAAGUUUGGCGCACGCCCUUGUUUUUUUUUGUACCAAUGUUGCGUCAUUUUCAGUUUACCUUUCUGAUUGUAUUUUCUUGUUGUGUUAGCUCUCCUUACUCUACCCUAUGGGAAAGGAUCCGGUAUUAGCUUGUGACAGCCCAGCUUAGCACAUGUUUAGUCUAAUCUAGCCAAUACACCCUUCGGGACAAUCUUUAACCGGAAAAGCUUUAUCCAACUCGGAUUCGGAAAGGUGGAUGGCUCAUAGUUUUCGAGAAGGAAAGACAAGUUGUCUAACAAACGAAUGAUGAUUUUAGCGUCUCCUCAAGUUAUGACGGAUGAUCAGGCCAUGUCUAUUGGAAAUUAGUACUUAUAUGCUCCAGUGGAUUUCAGAUUGAUUUUGCUUAGAACAGCUUGUGAUUUUGAAGAACAGCCAUGGUGGCCACAGUGAGUGUUUGCAAGGCCCAAAAUAUGCUACAAUAUGGUAGAGACUAAUUGUUGUUUGGGACUAUGGCAGCCACUAUAGUGGAAGUUUGGCUGCUAUUUUUCUGCUCCAAAAUGGGCUCGUAGUGACUGGAUUAAGCAUGCAUUUUUAGGAAAUUGGUCUAGCUUAGCUUGUAAACCAGCUCAGGCCGAGUUAACCAAUCAAAUUUAACUCAAGCUACUGAAUAAAGUUACUUUUCAACCCCAUAAUUUUGCCUUACCAUAACUAUGUAUCUGAAUCUCACUCAUUUCUAUCAAUGUGUGGAUGGUGGUUGAUAAUGUGAAUAUAUAUAUAUAUAUAUAUAUAUAUAUAUAUAUAUAAUAANNNNNNNNNNNNNNNNNNNNNNNNNNNNNNNNNCAUUUGCUGUUUGCAUCUUUUGAUAUUUUAGGUCACAUGACUUUUUCACUGGUCCAAUUGUAAUCCGCUUUCAGCUGUAAAAUCACAAAUACUUGCUGUGCUUUUUUGAGGGUUUGGUCGUGCAUGCACUUGUGGGCUUGUGCGUGUAUGUACAUGUAAUAGAUGUUUGCAAGAAAGCAACUAGUUAAUAUAAUAACAUGGCAUGCAGAUUUUGCUAUAUGGAUAUGCCUGUUUGUACACUUAACCUCCUAAUGUUGAAAUUUUAGUGUCAAGGAGGAAGUUCCAAGGAGAGGUGCUUAUCUUUUUUCAUCAAUGUUGAUGGGUAAGUUUCGUAUCUUUGAUUUUAAUCACUAAAGCAGGCAUCCUUAAUUUGUUUACCUUUCACUCUUCCUGUGUUAUAUCUGGCUUUCUAUUUUCUUGGCAUUCCUUCUUAAUCUUGUAGAGAGUUGGCAAUUUGGAUGUGUUUUAGAGCUAAAUGUGGAUGGAGAGGUUCUGUACGGGUAUUAUCAUUUUUCAGCAAAUACAUAUAUGACUACCACCAUUAAGCAUCGCAAUUGGAACUCCACUUUUUGGCUGUUAUCUUUCACUGUUUACUUGCAGGCUUUUGAGGAGUGCAAGAUAGGCUAUGCCAAAACAAGACAAACUUUGAAACUUAACGAUUACAGAGUAAUCACUGAAAUUGAUCUUCAGCUAGAGCCAUUAUGUACAGAGGUGCAUAGUUUAACUUUGUCAGGACUGUCAUCAUGAUUAUUAUGUAUUUUUUUGACAUAUUGUUUUAUAUUUUUUCUGAACUCAUUUUUAUAAUUUGUUAUGUAGCUUCAGGUUCAUCAGAUGAUUCUGAUAAGAUGUGUAGACUUUUCUCUUCCAUGUUUGUUUCUCCUGACGUGCACAAAAGUGAACCAUCAUUAGUUUCAUACCUAUGACGCUUAAUCUUCUACUUUUUAAUGUUACUGCUAAAACAAGUACCUAGUAAUUUUCAAUGCUAAUGGAAGAGUUAAAUCUUAAUAGUUAUACUGGCAACAAUUUUUGGCUUCUGCCUUUUUGUUCCGCUUGGGGUCACUUUUCGUAAUCCAAUAAGUGCUUCUGUAACUGUUUUGGUGCUUUUCUUGCCUUCUACCUUUACUUUGAACUGCAUAGUUUUGACUUUUGAGGAUCUCUUAUGAUAAUGAAAUUUAGGUACAAUGAUCCCUCUGAUAUAGUAGUACGUUGUUGUUAUUGUUAAGUAUAUCAUCAUGGAGUUGACAGUUAAAGUUCAAUUACAUUCUCCUGCAUUUACGUUUCAGCUUAUUGCAUACUUCGCAGAAAGAUCGAUAUCAGCAAAAACUCUUGAACGAAAUGGCAUCAUGCAGUGUAAACAUGAUGAUCAGGUUUGAUUGCAGAGUUUCAGUAGUUGCUUAUCUUGAUGGCAGGCUCCUUUUUACCUAUCAUGAUAGUGAUUGAAGUAUCCUGUACUAGUUGCUCUCCUAAUUUGGUUGUAUCCCGCACAGAUCGUUAUUGCUUUUACCUACAGGAGAAAUGCAGCUCUAGUAAGCUGCAAAUACCUUGCAUCCUCCAAAGAAUGUUGGCAGGUUUAUGCAGUGUCUUGUUAGCUUAAAAAUAAUCGUAGUGUUUUUUUCAUGAAAUACACAUAUAAUCUGUCUUGCUAUUUACAUAAUGUUCUUUCUUUCCAUCUACCAGGAAACGGGCACGGAACAUAUUUUUUAUGGACUUGAUGACAUAAAGCAAGCUAGCGAUGUUAUAAUUGUAAGUCUUUUAACUGUUAUAGAUAUAUUUGUACAUUUUUGUUUAGUCAGAUUCUUUCUUAUAUCCCUCGUUGUUUAGUCUCUUCUAUAUUUCUUCUGUUAAUGCAGGUCAAUGGUGAAAUAGAUAAGCUCUCUAUGGAGGAGGCUGGUUUCCCCAAUUGUAUUAGCAUACCUUAUGGACUACCUGAACAAUCCUCCAAAGAGCUACCUGCUGAGGAUGAGGUCUUAACCAGACUUGAAACUAAAAGUGAUCUUUCUUAGGUUUUUGAAUUCUCUGAUACUAAUGCAAGACUAGAAAUUUUUUUGCCUUCUUAAAUUUUUGUAUUGUAGCUUGUUUAAUUGUUUUACCUUUAUGAGCAAUCAUCAUUCGUUAAGGCUUUAACUACAUUUACAAAUCCUAAGCUUGCAACCUUUGGUGUUUUCUUUUUUUUGGAGGAUGAUGUCAAAUCAAACAGGCAACACUUGAUAUGUUACUUUUAAUAUUUUGUUGUUACAUUAUUGAAGUUGUUUUCUCUAAUUAAUCCUUCCCAACUUUUCAUCUCUUUGUGUGCAAAAGUAAGCUCACAUCAAAUCUCUUGUGCUUCACAUAUAGGUAGUAUCUUUGAUUGAAAAUGACUCUGCACACUCUUUGACUCACAAACUCUACUUGCGUGUUGGUGCCUUAUAUCUAAUGGUUUAGCAUGUCUGUGAAUUCUUUCCUGACUGCAUAACUUUAGGUAUGAUGCCCAUGUUUAAGUCACUUUAAAGAUUUAUGGCACAGCUCUAUCUCUGAUGGGACAAACAAAAGAAAAAAUGAAAACAAAGAGGUUCAAGCACUUGAAACAUCGGAAAAGAAUCUUGUUUAAUUUUGUGUAAUUCUUUCGAUUCUGAUUUUUGUAUGUUGGUUAUUUGCUGCUUUAAGCUUGUCUUCCAAAGGUACGCUCAUGCUCACGGGAUUAAACAUAUUCUCCCCUUAUUAGUUGUUACAAACACAUGACGACCACCAUAAAUGGAAGUACUGUUGAAAAACAGGUAAAGUUAGAAAAGGUCUUGGUUUUUCCAAGAUUGAGGAGAGACUGAAUAUGGGAUGAGGUAAAAUAACAUGAGAUAUUACUGUAUUGUGCACAUAGGUGUUUCAUGAUGCCGAACUAGGUGGUCACUUUUUAUUUUCCUAGUACUUUCAUUCUUGGGAAUGGUAAUAUUGCUCAGAUACCAUGCUAUAUCUUAUAAGGAGGUAGGGGAACUUGUUUCACUUUGUAAAGGUUUUUAAAAUUAUUGUGGAUGUUUCUCGUUGGAUCAAACCUUUUCCUCUAUAUGAGGGGCUUGGAUGAGCAUCUUCCAUGCCAGAAUUAUAUUGUAGUAUUAGGUAUGUGUGUGUGUGUGUCCACCAUUCCCUUUUAUCUGAGUUGUUAAUGAUUUAAAGUGAGCAGGGUUUGAGCUGAACUGAUCAAGAUUUUUCAAACAUGCUAAAAUUAGCAGGUAUUGAUGAGACACUGUAAAUGAGUUGGGUUUAGGUUCAUGAUACUAACUUAGCUAAUAGGAAAUAUGGUCUGGUUUAUACCAUAAAAGCAAGCCAUAAUGUCCUGAUGAAUUUAUACCAAGCAUGGUUAUGGAGUUGAAGUUCAGCCAAUUCAAGCUUUUAAUUCAAGUAAAACGGGGAGGAACUAAAGGUAAACUUUAAAGUGGUUCACAUUUUUGUGAUUGGUCUUGGGAUGGCUGGUGGACUUGCAGUUAUCAUAUAUCCUUGCAUGUGCUUGGUUUACAUGUGGGCAUGGCAUAAUGUACACUUGUGCUGGUGUUGUUUUGGAGCUGGAGCUCUUUGCACCCUAGUAUUAUUGCAUCUUGAUCCAUGCUUGUCUCAAAUACCCACUUAUUCUGACCAUUGGAGACUCUUAGUGCCGAUUUAUUUUGUUAGAUACAUACUUAUCUUCUCAGGACUUAAACAGCCUCUAAGAUAGCCAUUGUAUAUCAUCAAGCUUCUGAUCAUCUAGUUACUUUAGGGUCCUCUUUUGACUGUUAUUUGAUCAUUAGAUACAGCUAAGACAGAAGGCUUGAGAGUGAGUCUUGAUAGCAUCAGGUUAAGUUAGCCUUUUUGUGAUCUGGGUGACCAAAGUUCCCGUCAUGGAAACAUCUUUGUUUACAUGGGUAAGUCUGUGUAUAUUGACCCUCAUAGACCCACUUAGGGGAAGCCUUAUACAUUGGGCGCAUGUCUAAUAUUUUGAGAAGGAUUGCAAUGUCUUAAUGUUCUGUAGAGCUAAUCAAAGUUAAACAUCAAUGUUGAGGUUUCGCUGACUUGCAUAUACAAUGGGAAUUUAGGUUUGUCUCACAAUUUUCAGGACAUCAAAAAUUUUAUUUAUAUUGUCACAUUAUUUUGAAAAUUAAUUGUUUUUCUUUCUGAUCAGAGUACUUUUCAUCUGUUUGAAUUUUUGGGUGUUUUAAGCUCUUUUGUAUUAUGGUUUCAUUGGAUUUUUAUUUCGGAUAAUAUGUCAGAUCUAACAUUUUUUGCAAUGUUCUUCACAAAGCUAGAACCCUGAGUUCCAGUACUUGUGGAACUGCAUAGAGUACCUAGAAAAGGUCGGUAUCUUAAUGUUUAAAACAAGUUAGCUUUGCUCUUGUCCUCAAUAGGAUACUUGUAAAUUGCUUAGCUGAUUUGAAUUGAAAUGUCCUGGAUAAAUCUCUCAGGCAUCUCGGAUAAUAUUAGCAACAGAUGCAGACAGCACUGGCCAAGUUUUAGCAGAAGAAUUAGCACGUCGCCUUGGUAAAGAAAGGUUUGGUCUCUCACCAUCAUCAUUUAGGCAUGGAUGUCAAUCUGUAUUCUCAUGUUUGCCAGUCUGGAUUGAUGAUUCUUUAGUUGUGUCUAUAUGUGUUAUAAUUUAGCUUAUAAACAUAAGAAUUACUUGAUACCUUUUCAUCAUUUGGAUAAACAAAUAGGUGCUGGAGGGUGACGUGGCCGAAGAAAAAUGCUGCCGAACUAUGCAAAGAUGCUAAUGAGGUUUGUUUUGACUGUUUGAACUGUUGCCUCUGUUAUGUUGGCUACUUUGUUCUAAAGGUUCCAGAUCAGGAUCGGCAUCAGUAUUGAUUAGUGGCAUAAACUCAAUUUCCUUCUAGAUUGGAAUUUACUGAAAAAAAAAUCUAAAAUUCGAAGCUGCACAAACCUUGAGACCUGGUUUGGGUGGUGCAUGCUUACCAAAUAAUUUGCAUAAUCCAUUUUUUUACAAAAAUCAUUACAAGUGUAAUUUUUUUGGGCACACCAGGCAUUCUAUGUCAUUUUUUAUGGUGUUGAUCUAUCCAUGUCUACUUUGUCAUUUAUUUUAAAUGGGAGGACUAAGGAACUUUGUCUGUGCGUGUGAAUGCAUUGUGCAUUCAUGCAUGUCCAUAUGUUUGGCCAAACAUUAUUCCUUCUAUCCAAGGAGUCCUCUAUAGGUACUGCCCUCUUUUAUGGAGUAUGUACGCCAAGUAAAGGGUGCUGACGAGUAGUAUCAGAUUAUUCCUACAGGCAAAUGGAAACUUGACUGCGUGGCUUUUCUAUCUUGUUGUCUAAACUUAUAUUGUAUUCUUUUCUUCAGGUUUUGAUGUAUAUUGGACCAGAUGAACUGAGGAAAGUUAUUGAGAAUGCUGAAUUGUUUCCUAUAAUGGGCCUAUCUCACUUCAGUAAUUUCUUCAAUGAAGUUGAUUCAUAUUAUCACCGGAGUCAUGGAUUUGAGCUUGGUGUUUCUACUGGUUGGAGAGCUUUAGAUGAAUUAUACAAUGUAAGAAUUUAACCUACAUAAUUUAUUCGUGUUUCCUUAUUUGAGAUUAUGCAGAUAAGAUCGUUUUCUUAAAUGUGAUGGUUUCCUUUGCCCUUUAGAGUGUUCAUUUAAGACUGGUAUAUUCAGUGCUGCACAUGUCAGCGAUGUAUAGCCAUUAAUCACUUUGUAUUUUGUUUCUAGGUAGCUGCUAAUUGCAUUGUAUCCAAUUAUAUGGGGUAUUUUACUAAUAGAGGAUUCCAAAACUUAUCUUGGUGAAAGAUCAUACUGGGUGCAUAAUAUUCUAGUUUAAGUGAACUGUAUUUUGCAAACAAACUUUGUUUCUUUAUAAUUUUCUAGAAACAUUGAUCCAUCCAACUAUUUCCUUUAAUUUACCACCAUAUAUAUGUAAAUUAUAUAUAUAAACUUUCAUUGAACAUUUUGGGUGAAAAGCAUCACCGCACUUGUCAAAAUACUGGUAUGAUUUGAUUGCUACACCUUUUGCCAACUGCCAAGCAUGUGCAAGUAAAUCCAGGAAAUUGACCAAAUGCGAUGCAUUAUACUGGAUUUAUUGUUGUGUUAUAGAGUAAAUCCAGGAAAUUAUGUGCUGGGUAGCCAUGAUCAUCAUGAGGGUUCAUACUAAUUUGUGCUUUCUUCUUGCAAUAACUUUACCUUGGUAUGAUUUUAUGAUCUCCAUAUUAUUUAAAUGUGUGUAACUACACUGGAUUAGUAUUUUAGACACUACAAUUUAGUUGAUAACUACCUUGAAAGUUUGACAAGAUUUCCAUGCUUUAUUUUGUGGCUGGAUAUCGAUCAAUCAAAACAAGAGCAACCUUAAACAAGUGUUUGAGGUUCAUGAUAAUGUAGUGAAAAUCUCUUGUGAAUCACAUAUCUUGUUCUUUAUUUUCCCUCUUUUCUUCUUUAUCACUGCUACAGAGAUGACCUAGCAUCUGAAAAUGAGAUCAGCUGUUUCAUGGUAUCUUGAUUUGCAUGGCACCUGUUAUGACUCAUGAGGGUUAAAUGUGGAAGCCAACAUUUGUAAAAUGAUAUUGCUUAGCACCAUGACAAGGACCUUUUUUUCUGGUUAAGGCAGACAUGGCCAAACUCUGGGUCAAAUGUAAAAUGCAAUUCAUGUUAUGGUUAGAGUACAACCAUUUAACAAAUUAAGAAUAAAUAUAAGGAAGUUUGUGUUAAUUAUUUGUUAACAAGCAAGUAAGCAAUUGGUAAAAAGAUAUAAAUUUUGUCCAUACUGUCACAAUGACUUACUACUGGAUUUAUUGUUCUGUUAUAGAUUAAAUCGAUCCAUAUUGAAUCCAAUUUAUGAUUAAAACGUGUGACUUUAGAUAUAAUCUGACUUUCAUCCUAGCUCACCAAAAUCGUCAGAUAAAGUACUAAAGUCUGUCUAAUCUCGACUUUUUCAUAUAUUUAGGAUUCUUAUAGUCAUUAUUUUUUAAUUAGUCUGUCCAUUCUCGGAGACGUACUUUUAGAUGCUGGAGAAAUCUAAUUGAGAAUGUCUGUUUAGAAAAUUUUUAAUGCUUCUGGAAGGAUUUUGUUAAUCCUGAUUUUUUAGAUGGUAGUUUUUGUUUUAUUUGUCUCUUUUCAGCCUACUCAAUCCUGAAAUAGAUUUUUAUGCAACAACAACAACAGCCAUAUUUUUUAUAUAUUUAUAAAAUCCUUUUUAUCUGUAUGGAUUUUUAGAUUGCUGGCUCUCUAAUUCUAGGAUGAGAUAUUUCUAAUCUCAUCAUUGAUUUCUAUGUGGCAGGAUUAUGUUUAUUUCACCUUUUUUUAAUUUUUAUCCUAGUGAAGUUAGAUUUCUACUGAAUUCCAAUCUAUAAAGCUAUUUGAAAGCCAACUAAAUUUGAUCUGGCAGUCUGGUGUUUGCUUUUAUCUUUUAUUUUCUGAGCUUUCUUGUAAUUAAAGAGGUAUUUGAUAUAUCCAACUUGUUAAUUACUUUGAAAUCUGUAAAGAAAUGUUAGAAUAUGAUUAUUUACAAGUCUGAAAUUUGUUGAUAAUCUUUUUGCAAGACUUGUGUGCACUUUUAUAUCUUUGCAUGCUAUUAUUUUUUCCUUGAGCAGGUCGUGCCUGGAGAGUUGACUGUGAUAACAGGUGUUCCUAAUUCAGGCAAAAGCGAGUGGAUUGAUGCCCUGUUAUGUAAUAUCAAUAAAGCCCAUAAAUGGAAAUUUUUACUCUGCUCUAUGGAAAACAAGGUCUGAUUUGUGAAUCUUCUAGUUCGACCUUGUGAUUAUUUCAAGAUUGUUGAAGAUAUUGGUCUUUAGGUUCGGGAUCAUGCAAGGAAGCUUUUGGAAAAGCACAUAAAUAAACCAUUCAUUAAUUCAAGGUAUAAAACCUUUCAUAUCAUGUGUGUCUGUCCACUGGUAACUUUGGUUCAUCAUAUUGAAUUAUGAAUGAAAGUUUUGUUGAAAUUAUUGGCAACAAAAAGAAAAAUAUGAAAAAUUUUCUCUCUUGUUGCUCCUGCAGUUGACUGAAAUAGUCAAGUUCUUCAAGUUUCUUAUUGCUCUCUGAGCUAUGAACCAGAUCAUAAUUGCUGCUCAGAGAAGUACUCAUCUUUAUUUGGCAUUUGGUUAAAGCCUAAUACAUCGCUGGAAGUGCAUUGGAACUUAAAGAGUAAAGACUGUUUUGGGUUGAAAACUCAAGUUCUAUAAAUUCAUGUGGGCACUGAGGUUACAAGUUUGUAGGCUUUGAACGAAAAUGACUUAUAUAGGCCUGAUGUUAUUUCUAGUAGUCUAGUCAACUUAUAUGAUCUCGUAUGCAUGUCUGAGGGUGGGAGUAUCCACAGGGAUUGCAUGAUGAAUCCAAGCUUAUUGUUUCACAGAAUAAAGAUCCGAUCAACACAAAAUUGAUUGACACUUUGUUUCUACUUGCAUAAUGAUGAAAGUAUUCAUGCAUGGAGAUAUUAUCGUUUUCUCAUCUUUAUUCAGACCUUUUCUUGGAAUUUUGGCUGUCUUUGGAUUGUAGCUAAAUUUCUUAAAGUUCUGCAUAUCUUUAAGACCUUUUCUUAGAGUACUUGUGAGAGGCAGCAAUUCUUAUUUGUACCAUUUUAAGAUUCAAGAAAAAAGAUACAGUUUGCCUGUCCUGGCUGCAAUGGAAAUUUAACAUGACACCAAAUUCUGAAAUAGCUGUAAGGAUGCAGUGGAUUAUUGAGUGUCGGGCCAAAAUUAAAUUGACUUUCUUAUUGUCUAAUAUUUUGUUUAUUUAAUAAUAAUCAAGUUAGUAUUGAGUUAAUUUACUCAAAGCAUACACCUGCUUAGUGAGGGGGUGGGCAUUGGUGUAAUGGUGAUGUUGCUCGCUGGUAAUCUGGAUGAUCAUGGUUCAAAACUCAUGGAAACAACUCAUCUAUAUGUAAAAACAUUACAUCUAUGUAUAUACACACACACAUUCUAGUUUGGCUUUUUUUAGUAACUCCUCUCUCCUAAAUUUUUCCAAAAAUGAAAAACAUUGUGAAACACAUUACUGUCAUAGGAUCCAUGAGUCGAUAGAAAUUCUGAAUGUUACUUCCAGAUAAUGUCUUUUUUUGUACUUGUCCCCAUGUGUGAAAAAUGAGGAAAAGAGGAUGUGGAACAAGGAAUCAAUCCUGAUUGUACUGGUCAAUACAGGCCACUAUUUAUUAGUUCAACUUGUCUGACCGGUACAAAACUAUUUAGAUUGGUACCUAUUAAUAUGAUUUUUUAUUAUUAAUUUUGAAUGAUAUGAGACUAUAUGAUUGGUUCACCAUUCAGUAUACUGGUAUUAUACUAUUCUCACCUGUUACUAUUGUUGGUAGUGUAUUGAGAUUUAAAUUUUUGAUCUGGAACAUUCUCAUGUUGAUGAAGUGCACUUUAAUAUUUUUCUUUUUUUUUUUCCGUUUUGUUGCCUUUUGUUUGUUUACAUUUGUUCAUUUUUGUUAAACCUUUAUUUUUUUUUCUUUUCUUGCCUAUUGGUAUACCAAAUCGUAGAUGAUCAAAGUCUAGUCAGGACUAAUUAAUUAAACAACCAUGCUGGCAAUUUGUUCUUUGCUAAGUGAACAUGUGCUCUCUCUUUUUUUUUCUUGCUUUUUCUAUUUUUUUUUAAAGUUGUCUGAUUUAAACUUUAGCUGGUAUGAUAACUGUCUUUUGUACCAGCUUUUCUGUCGGAUAUCUAGAUUCCCAAUAAUUGUUUCCUUUGCUAAUUUAGUUGCUUGUUAGUUCAUAAGGUUCUUUGUUAUAUUUUUCCUAAAGUAAAUUAUUAUGUUUAUGGCUGUGGCAAGAUAUGCUGAAUCUACCGAGCGUAUGAGUGUGCGGGAGUUAGAAGAAGGAAAGAAAUGGCUUGAUGAUACAUUUUAUCUAAUUCGGUGAGUUAUUACAUGUCACCAUGUUUGGUUUAUCAGACAAGUUUUGUUAAUCUUAUUUUUUAAAUGCAUAACGCUUUAUAUUCUCAUAUAUCUGGUCCAGAUUACACAAGUGUUCUAGAUAUGUUUGAGUAUGCAUAAACCUCAUUGGUGUAUCGUUUCUUGAUUGAUUGGUAUUUUGGAUCAUGGAUAGGUGUGAGGAUGACUCCUUUCCAUCUAUCGAUUGGGUACUUGAACUUGCCAAGUCUGCAGUUGUUCGAUAUGGCAUUCGCGGACUUGUUAUUGAUCCAUACAACGAACUUGAUCACCAACGUUCUUCAAAUCAGUGAGUGAUUCUUCAACUACAUUUUUGUUCACAUAAACUGUUUCCUGCCAUGUAAAUCUACUCUAUUUGGUUUAACAUUUCUGGUAACAGAACAGAAACGGAGUAUGUGAGCCAUAUGCUUACUAAGAUCAAGCGCUUUGCUCAGCACCACGCUUGUCAUGUAUGGUUUGUGGCACAUCCAAGACAGGUAUACCUUCUAAUGUAUCCUAUAAUCUAUUAAUGUUCUGCUUCUAUCAUCUUCUUAAUGUAAACAUGUCUUCAGCUACAAAACUGGAGGGGUUAUCCCCCUAAUCUGUACGAUAUUAGUGGAAGUGCACAUUUUAUAAAUAAAUGUGACAAUGGAAUUGUCAUUCAUCGAAAUCGGAAUCCAAAUGCUGGCCCCCUUGAUCGUGUUCAGGUUCACUUGUCUUCCUUUGCAGUCCAUUAGUUUCUAUUUUCCAUUUUUAAUUUAUUUUUGCAUAUUGCAUAGGUUUGUGUGCGGAAGGUGCGAAACAAGGUCUCUGGGAGAAUCGGAGAUGCUUUCCUCUCAUAUAAUCAGUAUAUUUCUAUUAUGCUUAUGAAUCAUUUAUUGCCCACUAUGUUCUGUCAAAAUCCUGUUACCUUGAAGUUCUUAAAAUACCUACUAUUCUUUUUUAGAUAUUUUAACUUGGUUACACUAAAAUGGUUGCUUGUAGCCCAGGAAGGUCCAUUAUUGUUUCAGUCCACAUCUUAUUCUUCUACUUUAGUAUGGGGGGUCUUUGUCAUCUACCAUUUGCCUUGUAUUAAUAUGUUAAAAACUCAUGUUAAAGUGAUGUUAACAACGAAGUGAAGAGUGGUAGAUGACGAAGCUUUCUUGUAUGACCUACUAUUAUAUGUUUCUGGCUGAUCAAUGUGUGUACAUGUAGAAUGGAAACUUGCAAUGCUUCUCCUUGCAUUAUGGUAGCAAGUCGAAGCAUGAGCGACUCUGACCAUGAUACAUCUUUGUGUGUUUUCACUAUCCAAAAACCUCAAUUGGGAAUUUUAAUCGACAGCUGUUGCUAACUGCAGUCUUUUUUUUUUUUUUUUUCGCAGAACCACAGGAAAAUUCGAGGAUUGGCAUGAUGGGGGCUAUAACAAUUAGGAAGCAACUUAGAUGAGUUGCCUCUGUGACACUGCAUUCAUACACAGAUAUCGGAUGAUCAAGUUUUGAGGUCCAAGCUGUAGCUAGGCUGUAGCUAGAGCGCCAGAAUGGAGAACAGUUUCGGAGCCCCAAUCAACCAUUAGGGGCUGUUCACUGUUUCCGGACGGGCAGUGGUCUACUUGUUCGGCUGUAAAAUAUUUGGUGGCUGUCCACCGUUUGGAAGAUGAAACCCUGUUGUUAGGCGCAUUAAAUGACAUGUGUUCUCAUGUGUAAGGUGAUAUGUUUGAAGAUACAGAGAUUGCAAUGUAACAUGAUAGCUUCCGAGUCUUGUGAAAUGUACAGGUGAAACUGAGAGAUAUCCACGUAUUAGGUUAUGAAGAAAGCCUACAUGCAAGGUAUUAUUGUAUUUGAUGAACACUUUUAUGUGAUUGCCUCGAGUGGUAGUAAUGCAUGUUUAUGUUCUUCACCUCACGACGAUGUGAAGAAGAAUCUAUGGCUCAUCGAGCAUCCGAUGGCAGAUCCAAUCUCGAGACAUCUUCGAGUCGUCCUUUUUCUUUUUGAUUCGAACCGUUGUUGCUUUUCCACCUCUUUUAUGCUGUCAAUUUUCUGUCUAUAAUCUAUCCGAGAAAGGUCAACCUCCCAAAACUUGUUGCCGGGAGGCGGUCAACCCUCCGUCGCACGCCGCGCCUGUGGGGUCCACGAAUCUUCGCCAGCCCCACCCUCCCAAAACGCGCUUCUCCGCCCAUUAGCCAAUCCCCACCUCCAUAAAAAGAUAAGGAAUCCAAACUUCCGUACCCUCCCGACCUACCCGAUCGCAUCGUCUCACAAACGACUCCAGGCCCCACAAUAGCCAGACGCUUAGUCUUACAAUCGCCACACGGGGUUGGCCGCCAGCGGGUACCGAAGAAUAAUAACAUCCGGGAAUCGAGGACAACGGCUCCCUGAGGUGGCGUCAUUUCAUUGGCUUUUUCCACCCUUUCCGUUCGGGUCCCUCGAAGGAAACAAAAUAGCCGUUGGAGAGAGAGAGAGAGAGAGCCGUUUUUAAUAUUAUUUAUAUUAGUAAUCGUUCUCCCUCUUCUGUCGGCAACGAGCGAACGGAGCACAAUAAAUAAGAAACCAUCCUUCUCUCCCUGUCCGUUGUGGUGGCUUUCCUCGUCUGCUGUCUCCCUCAUAUCCCCCGUUGCGAUCGUGAAGCUGCCGUCCCAUCCGCCGUCCACCAUGACUUACGAGGUGAGUUCAGAUGCCGGAGCCCCGACGGCCGCGGAUCCCGUCGAAGAGAAAGUUGCGGCCGCCGCCGAUGGCGACGAGAGGAAAACAGAAGUGGAUACCAAGGUUGUCGCCGACGUGGAGGAGAAGAAAAUGCCGGAACCGCCGUCCUCGGACCAUCCUUCCGUCGAGAAGUGCUCCUCCUUCAGGGAGGAGAGCAACUUCUUGUCGGACCUGAAGGAGGCCGAGAAGAAGGCGCUCAUCGAGCUCAGAGCCAAGGUCGAGGAGGCCAUCCUCGAGGGCAAGCUACUCCUCGCGAAGCAAGAGGAGCAGAAGCCGAUGGAGAAGAAGGAAGUGGCCGAGGAGAAAGGCAAGACCGAUCAUGAAACCCGAGAAGGCGGGGAAGGUGAAACGGCGAUGCUUGAUCAAACCAAGGAGAAGAAGGAAGAGGUCACGGAGAGAGAAAAGGCCGAUCCUGAAGCCCAGGGAGGCGGGGAAGGUGAACAGG